ensembl:snRNA U6 U6 spliceosomal RNA
GUGCUUUGGUAGCACAUGUAUUAACAUUAGAAAAAUAAGGAGAAGAUUAGCAUGGUCUCUUGUAGGAAUGACACUCAAACUUGUGAAGCAUUCCAUAUUUUU